AAUCAGGCAAAAUGAUUUCACAGGCUGGGCAAUUCCCCGGAGCACGCAACAUGGACACCCGUGGCGAUUUGGCAGUGAACCCGAACGAGUGUCCACACUGCUGGAUUCCUCUUUGAAAGUGAUGCAAGUAACUAUAAUGCUCAAAGACUGUUUGCGAGAGUAAAGGAGAAAAUUGGCAUUGUGAAAUCUCCAGGGUUUGGAAAGUGGCCUUUUAAUACAAAACUGAGCGACAAAAGUGACACGACUUGUCGAUGAAGACGUAAAGGUACACCAGCGAGGCCAGCUGAAGCUAGCUGAUCAUACCUCAGUCGAGAAUAAACUUCUCCGACAUUUUGUGGACAUUUUGAAAGGCAGACAUUGAGAGCAGGAAUACGGACUUGGACACGGGAUAUUGCCUCUCAAUUUGGGAGUUCCGCUUACUAGGAGGUUACUUCGGUCAUUUGAAGCAGAAGCAGGGAAUCCCAGAAAGGCCAAAAACUUUGCAAGAAGAGGAAACCUAGCCAUAGAAAAUGGCAUGCAUCAGUCUGACGUACGGUCUCAUGCUUGGACUGUCGUUGUUCGUAAGAGCAAGCCUGGGUUUUGACUGCACAUUUGAACAUGGCAUGUGUGGUUGGGAGCAAUCUUGGGACGAUUCAGGCUCCUGGAUACGACAGUCUGGGAGCAGCUCAUGGGAUUCCACUGGUAUCCUG